UCCUUUUUGAUUACAGAUCCCUUUGCCCCCUUACCCUUUUAAUAUGCUUUAGUCGUCGCAUAAGUCGGUAAACUCAACACCAAGUAAUUCGCAGGGUUGCAACAGCAGCAGCUGGGAGAAAAGACGAUCCAAAACUCUUCCUAAAACGAGCAAAAAUAGUAAGAGUUAUAUUAAUGGAUCCGUGUCCUUUUGUACGGAUCCUCGUAGGUAAUUUGGCCCUGAGGUUUCCACUUUCUACAAAGCCCUCGCUUUCAAGGAUCCAUCCUUCUACUUCUCCAUGUUACUGCAAGAUCAAACUCAAGAACUUCCCUCACCAGGUGGGUUCAAUCCCUUUGAUCCAUGCAAACACCCAAAACCCAGAAAGCUGCAACUUCUCUUUGCAGAAAUCGCUCGCUGCGUGUUUCAGUUUAAGCAAGUCCCAGGUGGAUAGGAUCAUCUCGAAAGGGGGUUCAUCAUAUAAACUUUCCAUCGAGGUUUACGCUGACCCUGAUGGCAGUACCUGCGGAUUGGCAUCUGGGAAGUUAUUGGGGAGGGUUACGGUGCCCUUGGAUUUACGUGGAGCGGAAUCAAGGUCGUCUGUUGCUCAUAAUGGAUGGAUUGAUAUAGGCCGAAACAAAAGCAACAAGAAUGGAUCCUCUGCGCAGAUGUUUUUAACUGUCAGGACUGAACCUGACCCGAGAUUUGUGUUCCAGUUUGGUGGUGAACCAGAGUGUAGUCCUCAGGUUUUUCAGGUUCAGGGGAGUGUUAAACAGGCCGUUUUCACUUGCAAGUUCGGUUUUAGAAGCUCCAGCGAUCGGAACUUGGGAUCAAGGACAUCUUUGCCUGAAUCGAACACUUCAAGAAAUUGGCUACCAUCUCUAAAAACAGAUAAAGAUCAAUCCGCCAAAGAACGAAAAGGCUGGUCAAUUACAGUCCACGACCUCUCAGGCUCUCCCGUAGCAAUGGCAUCAAUGGUAACCCCAUUUGUCCCUUCCCCUGGCUCGGACAGGGUCAGCCGUUCAAACCCUGGAGCAUGGUCAAUUCUUCGUCCAGAAUGUGGAACCUGGAAACCCUGGGGUCGCCUCGAAGCCUGGCGUGAGCCUGGUUUCACUGACGCCCUUGGAUACCGAUUUGACCUCUUCCAUGAUGAUAUCGUGGCCACAGGAACAACCACCACCGUCGCCAGUUCCACCCUCAGCACCAAACUUGGGGGGAAAUUCACCAUGGAUAUGACAACAAACAUAACAACUCCAUCAGUAAGCCCGCAAAGCAGCUGUGACCUGGGGUCAGGCUCACGUCCCGGGUCAAGACCAGGAUCGGGAUCAGGGUCAGAUUUCGGGUUUGGGUUGCCCCUUUCCCCGCAGAGCAUGUACCGGGGUGGAUUUGUGAUGUCGUCAACGGUGGAAGGUGUGGGGAAAUGCAGUAAACCGGAAGUGGAAGUAGGAGUAAAGCACGUGACAUGCACGGAGGAUGCUGCUGCCUUUGUGGCGUUGGCAGCGGCUAUGGAUCUAAGCAUGGAUGCUUGUCAGUCCUUCUCUCAAAAGUUACGGAAAGAGCUGAGACAGCAAAGUCAGAACUUUGUAGAUUAAGGGUUUUUGUCGAUUUAGUUGUUUUUGGAUUGGGAUUUGGGAUUCUUUCGGCAGAUAAGCUAACAGCAGUUUUUGAGUUGGAUGUAAGGAUUAGUUUGUACAGUGCGGAAUGACGAGAUAUAAGCAAGGGAACCAAACCAAAUGGUUAAUGAAUUUCAUCAUUACUGGAGUUUUUAGAUUUACAAGUGUAGAGACAUGAGAACAGAAAGCAGAAAGUGAAACAGCCUUUAGUUUUUAUCCACCUUGUUGGCAUUUAUUACAACUUUGGUUUGAUGUAAUUAUUGGAUGUGCAGAGCAUCCACUCCAAUUUUUUUUUUUUAUGAUAUAGAAUUAAAAGUUUAAUAUUCGUGCA